GACAGAGGCCUCGAGCGUUAGGCGGAAUCACUGGGCUUAAAGCGUGUGUAGGCGGAUCGUUAAGUACCUUGUGAAAUCCCACGGCUCAACCGUGGAACGGCUGGGUAUACUGGCGGUCUUGGGCCAUUCAGGGGCGACUGGAACAAGCGGUGGAGCGGUGAAAUGCGUAGAUAUCAGGAGGAACACCGGUGGCGAAGGCGGGUCUCUGGGCCGAUAUUGACGCUGAGGAGCGAAAGCGUGGGGAGCGAACAGG
rnacentral:rRNA from 1 species